rnacentral:ncRNA from 1 species
UACCUCGGCAUCAGACGUGAUACCACGCUGAAUUUAAGCAUAAUUAUUAACGGAGAAAAAAAACUAACAGGAUCCCCUCGUAACGGCAGGAACGGAAAAGCCCAAAAUCCGAAUCCCUUGCGCAAUCAACGGGAAUGUUGGUUUAAGGUACCUCUCGUCAGUGCUAGUCGUCUCAAGUCCACCUAUUGUGCUCAAGCCCAAAGAUGUAAGGCCCUAAACGCUCACGGACAGAUCCUGGGUAUUACCUACAUCGGCUUGUUGGAAUGCAGGCCAAAGCGUGUAAAUAACUCCAUCCAAUGCUAAAAUACUGGCACAGCCAUAGCGACAAGUACCGUAGAAAGUUGAAAAGAAACUUGAAGAGAGUUCAAUAGUAAACGUGAAAACCGCUUAAGCAACGAUGUGCUCCAUACGCGCUGAGAAUUCAACUGUGACGGUGGCGACACUGGCUCCGAUCUCUCUUUUGGGACGGGGCUCGGUUUGGCUAUCAGCUUCCCGACAUGUGCAGCUUCCUGUGCCUCCGCCACGACCGACGACAACUGCUAACCCGCGGCUGGGUAAGGUGACAAAUGCUUCGGCAAUUUGUGUUAUACGACGCCCGCGUCGGACAUGGUUUGGCCAGACGUCGACUGCGCGCCAGCUCCUUGUGCUCGCUAUGUUGGCUACUUGGCUGCCCUAUGCUUGCACUGGACACAACCAUACAGGUGACCGUGUUGGUCUUGUCUCUAGUGGCCUCUGAUUUGCGCCCUAUAGCUGUGUGUACUUGGGAGACUACCGACCACGUCUUGAAACACGACCAAGGAAGCCUAACAUGUGCUCGAGUCCAUGGGAAUUCUACGAAACCCAAAGCGCAGUGAAAGUAAAGCCUGCUUCUCGUAGGCUAGUGAUCCUCGUGCAUCGCUAAACGAUUGCGAGCGCACCACCGGCAACCCGUCUAUCUUCUCUUCAGUGGCCCGCAAGAGCGUACACGUUGACCCGAAAAAUGGAACUAUCUCCAGCCGAAGUCAUGAAACACGAUGGAGGACCAGCGUUUCCGACCGCUGCAACGGAUCGCCAACGAGAAGGGCGAAAGACUAAUCGAACCAUCUAGUAGCUGCCCUACCAGUUCCUCAGAUACUGCACCGAAACAGUUUUAUCCGUAAAGCGAAUAUUAGAGCAUUGGGCGAAACACCUCGACCUAUCUCAACUUAAAUGUGUAAAAUCUCUCUCGCUAAAUUGGAGCGGGCUUCACCUCUCUAUAAAACGUGAAUGUGAUGCCCCAUGGCCAUUUUGUAAAGCAGAACCGCUGUGGGAUGAACCAACGCGCGUAAGCGCCCCAUGCGGACGCUCAUCGAGACAACCCAAAAUUUGGUCAUACUGACAGCAGGACGUGCCAAUGAAAGUCGGAACCGCUAAGGAUUGUGUAACAACUCACCUGCCGAAUCAACCAGCCUGAAAAUGGAUCGCUGCACGUCG